rnacentral:tRNA from 1 species
GGCAGCUGUGGCCUACUGGUUAGCGCUUCGGACUUGUAACCGGAGGGUUGCCGGUUUGAACCCCGACCGGUAGGCCA